rnacentral:rRNA from 1 species
GACGAACGCUGGCGGCGUGCCUAAUACAUGCAAGUCGACCUUAGGGGCGAACGGGUGAGUAACACGUGGGUAACCUGCCCAUAAGAAGGGGAGAACACUUGGAAACAGGUGCUAAUACCGGAUACUGAUGGAUGGACCCGCGGUGCCUUAGCUAGUUGGUGAGGUAACGGCGCACCAAGGCCACGAUGAAUAGCCGACCUGAUAGGGUGAUCGGCCACAUUGGGACUGAGACACGGCCCAAACUCCUACGGGAGGCAGCAGUAGGGAAUCUUCGGCAAUUGACGAAAGUCUGACCGAGCCACGCCGCGUGAGUGAAGAAGGUUUUCGGAUCGGAAAACUCUGUUGUUAGAGAAGCGGUAUCUAACCAGAAAGCCACGGCUAACUACGUGCCAGCAGCCGCGGUAAUAC